rnacentral:lncRNA from 1 species
CACACACACACACACACACACACACACACACACACACACACACACACACACACACACACACGCACGCGCAUAUUUAUAUAUAUAUAUUCAUAUAUAUAUAUAUAUAUUUUUUUUUUUUGCCAUAUGAGUAAAUACUUUAAAUCGAGUGGAUAUGAAUGAUGCAGUAUAUAUAGAUUUGUUUUUAUUGAAGAGAUGGUAUAAUAUAUUCAACAUUAGGGCAGACUUUUUUCAGUUUGUACCUGGAGGAACCACCUGCUUCUCCCUCCUUUCUCAAAAUAGCCAGUUUGGUUCUCAAAUUCCAUAGCAUUUGGAUCCCGUUGUGAUGUAGGGCUGUUGGCAUUUUCUGGUUUUUUUUUCUAACCUGGAUAUUUAGUACACUUUCUUUUCAUUUUUAGUGUCACAUGUCAUCUGUGAUCUGUGUUAAGGUUUUCCUUUACAGUUUGACUGUUGUAUGAUUAGUGCAGUCUCUACCAAUUUUUGAGUGGUUGGCAAGGAAAUUUUUUUAUGGUAUGUGUGUUUGCAUGCAUGUUGUGUUCAUAAUGAACAUAAAAAUUUGUCAGAGAAAUGUCACAUGGUGCAUAUUUCACUGUCAGUAUGCUUCCUUCUUCCUGUAUUUUGCUGGCCAUUUGAAGGUAGUAGGGGUAUAUUUACAUAAAGAUAUAUAGUGAAAGAACAUAGUUUAAAAGGUGUUCUUUCCAAAAAUUGUCAGAUGUUGGGUGCCAUAGAAGAACCUUGGAAUAAUGUUGUCAUAGUUCAUCUUAUUUUUACUUCAUAUUUGGGUAGUGGGUAGUUCUUCAUUGUCAUGAAAUCUCAGAUUAAUAGGUUUUUGUUAUAGUACUCUUUUUUAGGAGUGAUAAUUGUGUUAUCUAAUUUCUUAUAACUUUAUAUUCAUCUAUAACUGAAAAAAUAAGAUCCAUAUGUAUAAAAAAUCUGAAGGUGUUAUUUUGCUACUAAAAAAAUAUGUAUAAUAGGGUUUAUUUCUGGUGUAUAAACAGCAUUAUAUAGAGAAUGGUAUUAGAUAAUUCAUCUCAGAAAUGAGAGAUUUAUGAACAGAUAUUUCCAACCUUCCUGAUUAGUACUUGCUUUAUAGAUGAUCUCAAAGACUGAAGUUUAAGAUUCCAUUUGAGAUGGCUUUUAAAGGCACCUUAUUCUAUCGAGAGAUUAACAUCUCAAAUUAAUGCACACAUUUGAUAUUUUCUAGUGAUGUUGAUAUCUAAUACUCAGCUAUUUCAGAUAUGAGGUUAAGAAUGUAGGACAAUUUUCAUGAUCAUUUUUGUAUAGCAAAUACUUCUUCAUUACAUGAGAACAGAGUGGGUUUACAAAGUGAGUUAAUAAUUAUGAAAAAAGGGUAGUGGAUAAAAAAUUUAUAGAAAUCUAUAAGCUUUUUCUUACUUCAUUGUCUCUCAUUUAGUUCCUGAAAGAACUAAACUCUAAGAUGUUAUUCUUUUCCAAUAUACAGCUCCACAGUGCUUACUAAAAAUCUAUAAAUUUUGUGCAAUUCGAUACAUCUUCCUCUUUAUUUGAUAAAAUGUGGUUGAUGUUGUACUUAUUGUUAUAAAUAAUAUAUAUAUAUAUAUAUCUAUAUCUAUACAUAUAUAUAUUUUGUAUAUAUUUAUUUGAUUCUUUGAGUUUAUUGUCUUCAUUUGUAAAUUUUGUAAUGGUUUGAAUGGUUAAUGAAUCUCAUAUUUUUCAAGUUUGACAAGCCAUACGUGGAAGAAAAUUAUCACUUUGGAAUGGUGAAAAUGAGUGUCAAUGGUUUAUGUACAAUGUCUUUUUGUGAAAGGUGCCACAAAGUUGUAAGUUUAUGACUUUUGAUGUAGUCAAGUCAUGCCUUGCCAGUAUUAUAUUCUUUCUAAAUGUAAAUAUCAGAGCCAAAAAAGAAAAAGAAUAUUUGAGAUUUGUAUUGGGAUCUACAGAUCUACAGAGUCAGUUGGGUUUAAUGUUAACUGUUCAGUCUAACAGAGUGGAAAUUUUACAAGGAAAUUACAGAAGAUGUUAUGGACAUUUAGUGCUUCCACUUUCUGAUGUGACAGUUCCAAAAAGUAAAUUUUGUUAUAUUUAUGUAGUUAUGAAAGCAUAAACUUUAAUGUUUAUGUUCCCCUAAAAAUUAAAGGCUUUAUGUGAAUCUCAUUAGAAUGAAAUUACAAAUGAUGAUUCUUUCACUUGAUAUUUCUCAUUAUAUCUGUUCUUUGAUAUUCUAGAUACAAUAAUUUGAUCAAAACUAAUUAUGUACUAAGAGAAUAUUGCAAAAUUUAUCUGCCAUAUUGUCUUUUUCUUUCUUUACAUGUGUACUAUAUUGCUCCACAUGUGUAUGUUCCGCAGACUUUGUUUAUUCACUUAUGUAAAACAGGAAAACCAGAUAUUCAUCUUUGUCUCUUGUUUUUUUGAAGUUGUUUCUCCUUGCACGUUGUGAACUUUAAGUGCCAUGUCUUUCUUGUGGAUUAAAAAUUGCUAAUAAGAAAACUCAUACAAUGAUUUCAUAACAUAAUGAUAAAAAAUUACAUUGCAUAAUUUCUUUAAUGGCCAAACAAUACUGUUUCUUAGACUCCACUAACACUUAUGAUGUGGAUAUUAAAGCCUCAUGAAAUGAAGUUUGUCUAAUGCUAGUCUGUGAUGUCAUCCAUGAAGGACAGCAGUUUAUAUCAAAAGAGCUUACAUUAGGAGAAUGAAGUGGGUAAAUUAACACAUGUCUUGUUUGAAAGCUAUCAGUACAUAAUUUAUGCAUAUAUGAAUAUGAUAAUGAAUAUGCUCAUAUAUUAUUGUAAGGCUAUCUCAGCAGGCUUUGAGGUAGAUGAAAUUGAUAAAAAAAGAACUAUUCAAAUGAAGGACAUAUACUUUCUUGCACUGUGUUCAUAUUAACCCAUUAAUGCCGGGAUGGCAUAUACAUACUUGUCAUGUCUACUGUGAUUUUAGUUUAUGAAUGUUACUAGCCCUACCUGAUCUCACCUGUUCCUUGAUUUAUGGAAAACCUUUUUUUUCAUUGCUUUUAGUACUGUUAAAAGCAUGUGUAUAAUCAUUAUCUCAGUACUAUUACUACUACAAACAAUAAUAAUAAUAUCUGAAGAAAAAACAACAAAAAAACUUUUCCCCAUGAACACAGGUGAGCUCAGUUAUUUUCAUUGCUUUUAGUACUCUUAAUAACUUUUGUAUAAUCAUUGUCAGCACAACUAUAAAUGAUAAUAAUAUAUGAAAAACAACAACAACAAAACUUUUCCCCGUAAAUACAGGUGAGCUCAGUUAGGCCUACAAACUGACUUCUUGGUGCUGAAGUGUAGCCACCUGUGAGCCACCUGUGUGUAAAUGAAAUUCACAAAACAAAGCCACAGUAGGCAUACAUGUACUUGAUGGCAGUGGGUAAAUUGUCAAGGUAUUUGAUAAUGUAGAGUGUUGUUUAACUCUGUCAGGAGGCCAAAUGUUUUCAGACCAGUUUACAAAUAAUGAAAUCUUCCACUUUCACUUUUUCUUCUUAAAGGUAUUGCUUCUGUAUUACUAAUAAAUGAUUUUUUUUUCUAA